CGGGCACUUGUCGGUGCCCCUGACCAGUGAAGGGGAGGUUAAAUUGUUAGAGUGCAAAUAAACACAUAUUAUUUAGGGAGGAGUCGUGACUCAAUUUAAUCGCAGCUAUUACUGAACAAACCAGGCAGUCAUUAUUCCUAAUCUGUAAUUAAAAAAAAUAAAGGCAGUCCUUUUUUAUGCCAUAAAUAGAGUUGCGAGUCAUUAAUAGCUCAAUCUAAAUGCAGCCGUUAUUAAAUCAACUGCAGGCAUUAAUGACUCCUGAUCAGAAACAAAAUAAGGAAAUUUUAGAAUCUAGAAUGAAAAUCGACCCGGAAAGCUAAAUUGGGAGCGGGUAGUACUGAAAUUGUAACAGGGCUGUUAGAAAGUUCAGAGGCAGCGACAGCUCCUGCUUCCAACCCAAGCAGUAAAUGAAGCUUUAGGCUCUUAAAUAAAGAGAAAUAAAGGUGAGCUGUUAAACAGUGGCUGGGUUCAAGCGUACCUAUUAAGAAAAUUUGCAGGUGCGGGUGAUUCCUGACCAGAACUAACAAUUCCAGAAGAUUUAGAUUUAAAAAUUACAAAGCUAAUGGAGUGCCACAACCGCCCGGAUGUCACCGCAGCCGCUUUGGGGGAAUGCCCCAGCCCCCCCAGCCACCGCUAUUAAUUACUGCCAAGGAGAGCAAAAGCGAAUGUAGAAGCAGUGCAGGUGAAAUGGGAAGCAGAGCUGGGCUGCACCGCGUGGCCAACCUCCCUCUUCUCCGUGAGUCCCAAAGGGGCAGCUCCAAGAAUGUGCUGAGAAUUAAUGUCUUGCGCUAAAAAUGAGACGCAAGUAGCACCCACCCGUGAAUUUUAUUUUCUCUCUCGCUCUGCGGCUCCUGCCUGCUUGUCUCUCCUCAGUGCGCACCUGCACCUGUGCUCGGAUGGGGCAGCUGAGGGAAGGUGCUGCCAUCUCCCCGGCCCCGGCGGACCGCCGCUCAGCUGUGUCCUCUGUCAGGGAGCGUCGUCAUCUCUCCUGCCCCCCAGAGCGUGUCCUGUAGUGGCAGACGCGCGGGCUUUUCCCUGCACGCGCAUACGGGAAGGGAAGGGAAGGGAAGCACAGUGAGAGCUGGGCUUGUCAAAGAGUAAUGGGGGUGGUGGGAAGCGUAGCUAGAACCGGAGAGCUACAGCGCAAAAGCGAAGCGGACGGGACACAAAAGUAAAAUGGUGCACAGGAAUGCUGAGGAGAGAACUCCCGCAGCACACAGGAAAUCAGUGUCAGAAUCUAUUUUCUUCUGACUGCUGAAUUAAAAAUAAUGGCACGCUUUGCAACGCUAAGCUCGCUCUAAUCAUCUGAACUGUUUCUUUCCAACCCCCCACCGCCCCCAGCACACCGUUCAGCCUCCUCAGCCUGAAAUGCCUUGUUUUCCUUCUUUUUUUUUUUUUUUAUGACAGGGCAACUUCUGUUCCCGAGGUGGUGCCUACAGUACAGCUAUCUCUUUGAAGACAGUUUGGUUUAGGUCAGAGAAUGUUUAGCCUGGACUGAAUCAGCCUCUGUUUCUAUUUCUGGAAAUCGUCGGUCCUGUGCAUCAAGCCCGGAAAAAAGGAAAUAUGAACCAAAGGACAUGGGGCCUGCAGGGCUAGGAAAAUAUUUGAGAAGAAGUUCAGUGGGGAAAUGACUGUUUGUCUGUGGGGCGUCCAGGCAAGCAACCCAGCUGCUAGAAAGCGGUGCUGUCCCCAGGAUGGCCUCGGCGGUCCCGUUGGGACUUGGGGGAACAAGGACAAGGCAGGGGGAAGCAUCUGGCCUGCCGUGUGGAACGUGACUGUACAAAGCACGUGUGAUGCACUGCAAGUUUACCUGUUUAAACUGUGAGUUAAAGAAGGUGCGCAGUUGCUUUGUAAACAGCCGACGCUCUAAAGCUACACCCAUUUAAUUGCUAGCGGUAUUAAAUCUAUCGUAUUGCUGUUUCUGCAUUAAAAAAUAAAUAAAAAAACCCCACAACAAACCUA